rnacentral:rRNA from 1 species
AUUGAACGCUGGCGGCAUGCCUUACACAUGCAAGUCGAACGGUAACGCGGGGCAACCUGGCGACGAGUGGCGAACGGGUGAGUAAUGCAUCGGAACGUGCCCAGUAGUGGGGGAUAGCCCGGCGAAAGCCGGAUUAAUACCGCAUACGACCUACGGGUGAAAGCGGGGGACCGUAAGGCCUCGCGCUAUUGGAGCGGCCGAUGUCAGAUUAGGUUGUUGGUGGGGUAAAGGCCUACCAAGCCGACGACCUGUAGCUGGUCUGAGAGGACGACCAGCCACAGUGGGACUGAGACACGGCCCAGACUCCUACGGGAGGGAGCAGUGGGGAAUUUUGGACAAUGGGGGCAACCCUGAUCCAGCCAUGCCGCGUGCGGGAAGAUGGCCUUCGGGUUGUAAACCGCUUUUGUCAGGGAAGAAACGCUCUGGGCUAAUACCCUGGGGUAAUGACGGUACCUGAAGAAUAAGCACCGGCUAACUACGUGCCAGCAGCCGCCGUAA